CCCGGACCACCAUCCGAAAGCCAGUCUCUUAUACAAAGGAGAAUCCCUGCCUACAAAGUAGUUUUCCACCUCCGACUCCUCCCCACAGCGAACAGCCCUUCUGGAUCCAACUAACCCACCGACCCCAACAGGGCCCAGCACCCACAGGGUUCACAAUCCAGAGGAGCUACAAGCCCUGUUACUCGCAAGUCUCGAGCGUCCAACUCCAACUGACCUUCCCUCUGCCAGAGCAAGAACACCACGAGUACCCGCCGAGAGCGAACCUGGCUACACAAAGCCAGGCGCCCGACCAGAGGGACCCUCGGGGAUGCCCUCCGCCCCUGGGGCUUCCCCGACCAGCCCCGCCGGGCGCCCCGCGCUCACCAGCUCUCCUCCCCCUCCUCCCAGCCUGACAGACGCUCCAGCUAGUCCAGCAAGCCGCCCUCCCCCGCCGCCAGCAAGAAGGUGGCGUCCCGCAGCUUCUGGUUACUCUUCCGCCUCGGGUACAUACGGCCCCGCCGCACGACUCGGCGCUGAGGCCCAAGGGGAAGCCCCGAGGGGACCCCGCGCGGUAGGAGGGAGUGGAGGCGCUGGCGAACCACCCUGCCGGGCCGAUGGAGCCGGGGUCCCGCACAGCGCGAGCGGCUCCUCAGCUGUUCAUGCUGCUUCCCCAGCUUCUUCACCGGCUCCUGCAGCUUCCGCACCUCUUGGUCCGCGUUCACGUUGGAGUUAACGUCCUCCAUCCCGGCCCGGCUGCCUCCGUCGCCCGCCGCCCACUCGCUCUCGCAGCAACAGGGAAAGAGCCGGAGGAAAGAGGCGUCCCCGCCGCUCACUCCAGCCGAAGCGCCCGCAUGUAGCAGGACCAGGCCCCGCCGCCAGGGUCCCCCCAGCGCGGGUCCCGAAGUGCAGCUGGCGCCAGCCGAACCGCCUCCUCGGCGCCGGUCCGGGGUUCAGGGAGGGAGCACCAAUAUCUGGCCUCUGCCGCCAUCGUCCCUCCGCCCCCCGAGGGUCGCCCCUGUAAGUGACCUCAAAGCGUCGGGGGUGGGCGUGGCCGCCGGCGGGCGUUGAGAGAACCCGGCGUAGAGAGGAUCACCGAGCUCCCGACAGGGCGGGGCCAGGUGUGUGAGGGGCGGGGAUUGGGCCAGGAGGGGCGUGUCCGGACUACUGGCUGAAGUGGCGCGCUACUGGACGCUCGACUGAAAGUCCCUGCGGUCCCGGAGGCGAGCAGAAGGUAUGCCGCGAGCCGGGCCGAGGUGGUGAACAUGGUCGGCUUGUGGUUCCCACGGACCAGUCCCGCCCGACUCCGGGCCAGAUCUCGAGUGGGCACUCAACGGGGUCCGGGGAGAGACAGUUAACUUUGUUCAGCAAAUAUUUAACUGAUGCCUACUUUUAAUUAGAGAUUGUCUCCGCUGGCGGGAGCCUCAGAGACAGCCUGUGUCCUCUUUCUUCACCUGAAAGAAACCCAAAUUUCAGACAAUUAAGAGAGGUCUAAGUUAAAAAUAAUAAAUAUAAUUUCUUCCUACUGGCCAGAUACCA